AUUUUGUCGUGCGUGCGUUGUUAGAUGGUGACUGUCUGAAGAAAAUAUCGGUCCCUCCUCUCCAUAAACAUCUCUCUCUCUCUCUCUCUCUCUCUCCCUGCGAAUCUUUGCUUUUGGCAAUCGUGUGCGGAGGAACAAUGAGCGUGGCAUCAACGUCCGAGGAAUCUCCCGAUUCAGCUCAGCGGAUCGAUUCGUUCAACGGCGAGCAGAGCGUCUAUUUCGUCCCCUUCAGGUGGUGGAAAGAUGCUCAAGAGUCAGUGCCUUGUGAAUCUGUUGAGAAAAGAGAGAUCUUGUAUACAGCAGCGACUACUGGGUCGUCUUACGGAGGCCCUAUGAAGUUGAUUAACAACAUCUUUAACUCCGAUAUCUUGUUUGAUCUGAGGAGAGAAGGUGAUGAUGCGUUACAGAGUAAUGACACGGGAGAAGCAAGCGUCUCAGGCAGGGACUUUGCUUUGGUCUCAAGUGACAUGUGGCUGCAGGCACUCAAAUGGCACCAUAACGAUAAAAUUAAUGAGAAAGGCGUGAAAAGUUUCUCCACUGGAGGCGUUGACAGAGGCGAUGUUUAUCCAGUACAACUCAGGCUCUCCGUCUUGCAGGAAACCAAUUCAUUGGCGGUUAAAAUUUGCAAAAAGGACAAUUCAGUUGAGUGCUUCAGACGAGCAUGCAAGAUAUUCAGUUUGGAUUCGGAGCAGCUGCGCAUUUGGGAUAUUUCUGGGCAAACAACCUUGUUUUUCCAAAAAGAUAUGAACAAUUCCAAGGCUUGCCAACAACAAACAGAUCAAGAAAUUCUUCUAGAGCUGCAGAUUUAUGGGUUAUCAGACUCCAUCAACUUGAAGGAAUCUAAAAAAGAAGAUGGUUCCACACAUCAAACCAACGGAAUUACCAAUGGCACAACUUUCAGAUUUGGACGGAGUCAUUCUUUGAGCUUUUUGGGAAAAGCUGGAGAAGCCGGAACUUUGGGGCUGACAGGCUUGCAGAAUCUAGGAAAUACUUGUUUCAUGAACAGCUCCCUUCAGUGCUUGGCUCACACACCAAAGCUUGUUGAUUUCUUUCUUGGAGAGUACAUCAGAGAAAUAAAUCUGGAGAACCCAUUGGGAAUGAAAGGUGAGAUCGCCUUAGCUUUUGGUGACUUGUUAAGGAGUUUGUGGGCUCCAGGUGCAUCAACAGUGACCCCAAGGACAUUUAAAGCAAAACUUGGCCGCUUUGCUCCUCAGUUUAGUGGCUUUAAUCAGCAUGAUUCGCAGGAACUUCUAGCUUUCUUGCUGGAUGGACUUCACGAGGACUUAAACCGUGUAAAGAACAAGCCAUAUGUGGAAGCAAAAGAUGGAGAUGGCCGUCCAGACGAAGAAGUGGCUGAUGAAUAUUGGCGAAAUCAUAUGGCUCGGAACGAUUCAAUAAUUGUUGAUGUGUGCCAAGGCCAGUACAAGUCAACAUUAGUUUGUCCUAUUUGCAAAAAGGUUUCGGUUAUGUUUGAUCCGUUCAUGUACCUAUCGCUACCUUUGCCAUGCACGUCAAUUCGAACAAUGGAUUUAACAGUCAUGAGUGCCGAUGGAGGUAGUCUGCCUGUCUCAGUGACUGUCAACGUUCCCAAGUUUGGAAAAUUUGAAGAUCUUCAGAAAGCUCUUGUAACUGCCUGCUCUUUGCCAGAGGACGAGACUUUAAUGGUUACUGAGGUGUACAACAAUCGGAUUCUUCGUGUCCUGGAGGAUCCUAGUGAUUCAUUGUCCUUGAUCAGAGAUGGUGACAAACUUGUCGUGUAUCGGUUAAAGAAAGAUGCAAACGAUUCUCCUUUGAUUGUAUUUAUGCAUCAGAAGCUGGAAGAGCAGUUCAUCUGUGGGAAAUCAAGCCCAACUUGGAAGGGAUUUGGAAUCCCCUUGGUCUCGAGGCUUUGUGAUGUCGAGAAUGGAUUUGAUGUUGAGAAGAUGUACCUUAAGUUGCUUAGUUCAUUUAAGAUGCCUAGUGAAGUCUUCACAGAGAAUCUUGAAAAUCCUACCGAAGAAGAAGCAACUGAAAAAGCAGGUACGGAUGGUACUACUUCAGCUGAGGAUAAAAAUUCCACUGAUGUGAAGGAGACUACUGAGUCUGUUCCAGACCCUGUGCUGAGGCUUUACCUAACCGACGACAUAGGAGGCUCAAUAGAAUCUGAGAUAUUGAAAGAAAAGCCUGUAAAUAUCAAAUCCAAGCGGUUGAAUGUGCUUGCACGUUGGCCAGUAAAAGAGCUAGACGUUUAUGAUACUUGUCUUCUGAGCUCCUUGCCUGAGGUUUCCAAAUUUGGAACUAAGAGGCCCCAGGAAACCGUCUCGCUUUACAAGUGCCUCGAAGCAUUCUUGACGGAGGAGCCUCUUGGUCCUGAUGACAUGUGGUAUUGUCCUGGCUGUAAAGAACACCGACAAGCCAUUAAAAAGUUGGAUCUCUGGAGGUUGCCAGAGAUACUGGUGAUUCAUCUGAAGAGGUUUUCUUAUAGCCGGUUUAUGAAGAACAAGCUGGAGGCCUUUGUGGAUUUCCCGAUAGAUGGUUUUGAUCUGUCAAGCUACAUCUCAUACAAGAAUGGUCAGACGACUUAUCACUACAUGCUCUAUGCGAUUAGCAAUCACUAUGGGGGCAUGGGAGGUGGUCAUUACACUGCAUAUGUCCACCAUGGGGGAGAUCGAUGGUAUGACUUUGAUGAUAGCCAUGUCAAUCAGAUCAGCCAAGAAAAGAUCAAGACUUCGGCUGCUUACGUUCUGUUUUAUAAACGUUUAGUAGAAGAAUAAUGAACCAGAAGCUGAAAGAAGAAGAAAGAGGUACGUGCAGUUUUGCCAUUGUGAGGGAAGCUUAUUUAAGAAACAUCAUUGGCUUUAUUCUCAUUCAGUACAUGAUAAAGAUCAGAGCAGCUGUGUGUUGAGGCUUGCAAACAGAAGAAGAAGAAGAGCUGAGGACAUGUUGCGGGGAAUUCAUUUUAUUUAUACAAAAGUUGGUGUCUGAUUAUAUCAUUGAACAAUCUUCAAUUUAGAGUAGGAAGAAUAGAGAAAUGCGUUUGAACAAAACCCUAAACCCUUAAAUUGUCCAGUCUUGUGACUGACCAUAAGAGUGUCUGUCGAAAUGAAUGCCAUCACAACCUCAAGGGUUCGAUUUCGCUUGGAUAUAACCCUAACUUAGAAACAUCUGCCUCGAGAAAAUAGUUUUGCUGGAUUCUGUUGAUGUAGAACUGUUACUUGGGGUUUAUGCAUGCUUCCAGUUACAUAUGGUUAUGGGAGAACGUAAUAUACAGUAUUGCAAUCUCUAUGAGUUAGGGACGUGCAAAUCCAUUGGAGGGUGUUCCACCUGCUGUUAAAACAGAUUUGACUAAAAAAAUAUAAUGAGACGAGUAAAACCAGAAUGGUACGUGCUGCUGACAUGGUGCAGCUUCCGGGAGUGAAGAAGGCACCAAAGAAGCGAAUAGCUGCAAUGCUUGAACCAACUGUUGAAAGUUUGAGCGGUGAAGAUGGCGAGCCGGUAGCAGAAAAUGAAGAAGAAAAUGAAUCAGACGCUGAAGACUCAGAAGAAGCAACUAAUGGAGAAAAGCUGGAGUCAAAUCUAAAAAUCUGAAUGCCAGAGCUAUGAUGCACCGAGACGGAUACGGGGACAGAAAUGGGGAUGGAAGCGGGGACGGGAAACGGGAAAAUUUAAAAAUUAUGGGUACGGGUACGGCAAAUAUAUACUAGUAAAAAAUAUAAAAUAUUUAUAAAAAAAAAUAAAUUUAUAUAGUGAAUCUAACAUAAUUAGAUAUAAUUUACUAUAAUAUGUCUAUUUUGCCAACUAAAAUUACAAGCAAAAUAAUAGUGACAGUUAAAAAACAAUUACACAAGCAUUAUGUCCCGUGAAAACUAGUCUUACUCAUAGCUAUGUUCUCUAACCGUCUCCAAGCCGUACCAGUGUUGUCCCCGUGAAGUACCCGUCCCCGAAACGUUUCCGGUACCGGUACGGCACCUAAAUAGACGUCCCCGUGCUACAUAGGGUUUCAGGGAUCCAAGUUGAUAUGGAUUUGAAAGGGGCUGGAACCUCAGGUUCAAGAAAGGCAGCUGGCAGAGGCAGAGGCAGAGGCAAAGCCGCAGAAGCUGAGAAGGCGCCGGUUCCAAGAGAAAGAGAUGAGAAGCCAAAGACGUCUCGUUUUUUCAGGCAAGAUUAUCAAAGAAAUGUAUCUUUCUGGAAUGUUCAUGUUCAGGUAGGCUUUUUUGUUAGUUUUCUUUUCCAGGAUUGACAAAUGAAUUUGUGCUGUUUCUGGUGGUAUGUAAGGGUGGAUUCUAGACUCCUAGUUUGUAUCGAACACACAAGGCCAAUACCUUUUUGAACUAUGGGAAUAAGCAUCUGCUCCCACCUAUAAUGCACCAUUCAUCAGAACCACAA